GUAGGUGGCAAGCGUUGUCCGGAAUUAUUGGGCGUAAAGCGCGCGCAGGCGGUCCUUUAAGUCUGAUGUGAAAGCCCACGGCUCAACCGUGGAGGGUCAUUGGAAACUGGGGGACUUGAGUACAGAAGAGGAAAGCGGAAUUCCAAGUGCAGCGGUGAAAUGCGUAGAGAUUUGGAGGAACACCAGUGGCGAAGGCGGCUUUCUGGUCUGUAACUGACGCUGAGGCGCGAAAGCGUGGGGAGCAAACAGGGAUUAGAUACCCUGGUAGUCCACGCCGUAAACGAUGAGUGCUAAGUGUUAGGGGGUUUCCGCCCCCUUAGUGCUGCAGCUAACGCAUUAAGCACUCCGCCUGGGGAGUACGGCCGCAAGGCUG
rnacentral:rRNA from 1 species